UAUAAUAAUGCCUUGAGGGAAAUGUAAUGGGGGUGAAAAAUAGAGUACGAUGUGUUAAAUAUAACUGUUAAGAACACAGACACACGUGAAAAAUGAUAGGCACGAUCUGAAGACCAUUAAAACUCAUCUCUUUGUGCUAUAUCUCCAACUUUAAAAUUUUAAACCCUAGCCUCUCUCUCUUCCUAUGUACGCUUUUUCUCUCUCUAGGUCGGCUGAGGUUCACCUAAUUAAGAGACCAUACACAAACACCUUCUCUCAUCACUUUCUUGUGACGAAAUUUUCAAUGUGUUAUAUACAUGAAAUUAAUUUCUUGUUUCCUCAAAAGGGUACAUACAUAUGCUCAUGCCUCAUCAAUGGAGGUAAAUUUAGCUUUUCUUGUUUUAACAUUUCUAGAAAUGAUUCCUUUUCAAAAAACAAACAUUUCUAGAAAUGAUUGGUCUUUAUUUCUACAUCUAUUUAUAGGGACGCAUCAUUUUUUUAGGUAUUGAAUGUUUCCAGCGGUACACCUAUUCCCCACUGCGGGACUAAAAAGAUUGUCUCCAUUCAACUUGUUUUGCAGUUGUAAACAUUAUUUAUCAGAAAAAGAAAAUAAAAAAAAUAAAAAUAAAGUGCAGUAUAAGAAUAACAAAGGAACGCACCUAAAAGAAAGAAGAAGCCAAAAGGGUGUGUUCUCUUUUACUAUGCAAGAGAACUAAUUUUUUUUUGCUUCUUUUUUUUGUUUCUUUUCU
rnacentral:lncRNA from 1 species